rnacentral:rRNA from 1 species
CCAUUUACACUGGCGGCGUGCCUAACACAUGCAAGUCGAACGAGAAAGGGUAGCAAUACCUGAGUAAAGUGGCGCACGGGUGAGUAACACGUGACUAACCUACCCUGGAGUGGGGGAUAACUGAGGGAAACCUUAGCUAAUACCGCAUAACACCUACGGGUCAAAGGAGCAAUUCGCUUCAGGAGGGGGUCGCGGCCGAUUAGUUAGUUGGCGGGGUAAUGGCCCACCAAGACUGUGAUCGGUAUCCGGCCUGAGAGGGCGCACGGACACACUGGAACUGAAACACGGUCCAGACUCCUACGGGAGGCAGCAGUGGGGAAUUUUGCGCAAUGGGGGAAACCCUGACGCAGCAACGCCGCGUGGAGGAUGAAGUACUUCGGUACGUAAACUCCUUUCGAUCGGGACGAUAAUGACGGUACCGAGAGAAGAAGCCCCGGCUAACUUCGUGCCAGCAGCCGCGGUAAUACGAGGGGGGCGAGCGUUGUUCGGAAUUAUUGGGCGUAAAGGGUGCGUAGGCGGUUUGGUAAGUCUGAUGUGAAAUCUAUGGGCUCAACUCAUAGUCUGCAUCGGAAACUGCCGGGCUUGAGUAUGGGGAGAGGUGAGUGGAAUUUCCGGUGUAGCGGUGAAAAUGCCUAAAAUAUCCGAAAGGAAACACCUUGUCGGCCGAAAAGCCGGA